GAUGAACGCUGGCGGCGUGCCUAAUACAUGCAAGUCGAGCGAACGGACGAGAAGCUUGCUUUUCUGAUGUUAGCGGCGGACGGGUGAGUAACACGUGGAUAACCUACCUAUAAGACUGGGAUAACUUCGGGAAACCGGAGCUAAUACCGGAUAAUAUUUUGAACCGCAUGGUUCAAAAGUGAAAGACGGUCUUGCGGUCACUUAUAGAUGGAUCCGCGCUGCAUUAGCUAGUUGGUAAGGUAACGGCUUACCAAGGCAACGAUGCAUAGCCGACCUGAGAGGGUGAUCCGCCACACGAGAACUGAGGCACGGUCCAGACUCCUACGGGAGGCAGCAGUAGGGAAUCUUCCGCAAUGGGCGAAAGCCUGACGGAGCAACGCCGCGUGAGUGAUGAAGGUCUUCGGAUCGUAAAACUCUGUUAUUAGGGAAGAACAUAUGUGUAAGUAACUGUGCACAUCUUGACGGUACCUAAUCAGAAAGCCACGGCUAACUACGUG
rnacentral:rRNA from 1 species